CACGGUCAGAGAGUGUGAAACAUCUCAACGGAAUCUCAUGAAACCGGUCAAGAACAUAUCCAGACACUUGUGGGACAGUAAGCAGAGCUGGAGACAAGACUAGACCCCCUAACGAUGUUGGAUAAAAAUAUAGCCGAAGCUGGUUUGCUUGUCUUAGCUGGUCUCAACCUGGGCAAGCUACUGUGGCAAGGAGGAGGGCGGGGCCGGGCCGUGAUGACGCACGCCCGGCCCCUAACCAGGCUAAUCAAGCUGACGAGGGGAUAAAGGCCGCCGGAGGCGGAGGUUCGGGAGAGAGAGAGCUUCAGGCAGCUGCCCUGUGCCACUCAGCUCUGUUGCCAGGACAACUGAUUGUUUCUCCACCCAGCUUGUCACCAGCGGCACCUGCCUCCAAUAUGUAUACCAGCUCCUAUAUAUAUACAUACUCUCCUUU